GUCCCCGCGAGGGGCCGUCUGAAGGAAGCGGCGAGCAAACGCGCGGGCCGAUGAACAAAAACCGGAUACGAGGCGUGAGCGUCGGACGAGCGGGCGUGUGACCGCGAAGUCCCUAUCCAUCAAGGGCGCAAAACGUAAAUCCGGCGGUCGUGCGCGGACGGCGGUCGA
rfam:Candidate division NC10 bacterium RIFCSPLOWO2_02_FTLL_66_22 rifcsplowo2_02_scaffold_2867, whole genome shotgun sequence.